rnacentral:lncRNA from 1 species
AAUAAGGAGUCGAGGGGCGGGGGAAGAGGGAGCAAGGGAGGGAGGGAGUCGCCACCUCAAAUCCACGCCGGACCAGGAAUCUCCAGCCCACAACCUGAUCCCUGCCCUCCCCAAGAGCGGACCGGCUACCAGCCUACCUUUGGAAGGUAUCCAAGUGAGCUCCAAAGCUUUCUCUUCCUGGUACCAUC